rnacentral:lncRNA from 1 species
GGGUGGGAGCCCUCCCCUGUUGAUCUGGGGACUGGCAGGCUGGCUACAUGCUUAUAACUGCAGACCACCCUCCCUCCUCCGACAGGGAGGCAGGCAGAGCAAGGUUAAAGUCUGGAACUCAGCACUCGUUUGCUUUUGCUGCCUCAGUUUCUUUCCCUGGAAAGUGGGUUCAGUGAUGGUAAGUCUGUCACACAGGGGAGCGAAUGGAUGAUGGGAAGAGGCCUUUGCUGUAAUCCCAGCCGCAGGGCGUGGGUGAGCUCUCUGCAGGUGACUGUUCUGUAGCGUGGAUGGGAACAGCGUGAGGCCAGUGUGAUGCCAACAGAGCAGCCCAGGACUAAGAGCUGUGGCAGAGGGACUGGCCAGAUGUACUGGCAGGGAGGCGGAGUCUGUUCCUAAGACAUUAGGAAGUCUCACUGUUUGGGAAGGACAGGGGGAGGCUGGUUUCAUUCCUUUGUGUUAAGCAAGAUUUUUCAGAGACAAGGGAGUGACCCAGGGGCUUUUACGCCUCCCCAGCCUUGCUUCCUGGGUGAGGGAGCGGAGGAGCUGGGGCCCUGCCUUCUAGCCGGAUGCCAUCUCUCGCUGCCCCAAGGCCGCACUGCCCCCUUGCAUCUCUAAUCCAAGGUCACCUUCCAGUCAAAGGAGCCUGUGGGUUGUUUCUUUCCUGUCACUCUUUGCCCUGGCCACACUCAUUCCUGCAGGGCCUUGUCUUCUAACCCGGUUCCUGGGUAACCUCUGGUGUUGCUGGGCCUUCCCCUGCUGCUCUCCAGCCCUGUUCUGCCGCCUCUAGACCUCAACACAUCAAAGCAGCAGACAGGACUGGGGGCGAGUGCUCUGAGGCAGGCCGUGCCCCUAACUGGCUGGAUAGAUCAAGUACCUUCUCUCUCUCUCUGGUAAACCUCACAUCUUGGUUCUAUUCUAUUUAUACACAGUCAGAUCUUCUUUUAACAGUGUCUUUGUUGCAAAGAUGCAGAGACAUCACAGGACAAGCCGUA